AAAAUUUGUCACUAAUUUUUGGCGCCCUCAAUUUAGAUACGGAUUUAGCAACAAAAACUGAGCACCUAAUCAUACGGAUUUACCCUAAGGCACAAAUUGGUAAAACAUCAGUCUUUCUUCUAACAUAGUAGAAACGCGCUGGGAGCAAAAUUAGGCGGCUGGGAGCAAAAUCAGUAGAAGACACACCUCGAGGGCAAGAACAAGAGCAAAAAUCAGUAGCCAACGUGAAUCUAAGAUAUGACUCGAGGGAGAGACAGAGAUAGCAUAGCUCGUGGAGGCAAGUCCUCAGUUAGGGGUAGGGGUAAUUCUGCUAUUCGUGCAAAUAUGCCUUAUGUUCCCAUUCCCAUAAUUAGUCCUCAACAAGGUGGUACGAGUUCUUUAGUUGGAUAGAAUCACAUAAAUCAAGUACAAACUUUAGCUCCUAGCAGUACGACACCCGUUCAAACUUCAGGUCAUGUUAGUACCCCAACUAUCCAUUUUGAAUCAUCUCCUAAUACACCUGAUCAGAGUAACCCAAUAGGUGAGGGCAUAUCUACUCAAAGCAACACAAUUGGCGAAGGUUAGAACCUAGUGGAUUAUGCUCGACGAAAAUAUUUAAAUCUUUCAAGCAUGAACUUGAUCUCAAUGGAAUCAAUUAGAAAAGUGUCUCUGACGAGAUAAAAAACUUUUAUUGGGGAGAAUUCAAGAAGAAAUUCUAUUGGGACUCUUCCAUUGAUAGUGCAGUGAGGAGCCAAUGGGAGAAUAAGGCAUCAAUAAGGUACAAAGAUUUCAUUUCCAAAAUGAAAACUAAAAAAAUUAGGCCAAGAGGUGUUCCAGUAGAAGUGUGGGAAAGUUGGGAUCAACUUUGGAAAGAUCCCAAGUGUGUUGAAAAGUCAGAAAUAAAUGUAAAUAAUCGUCGUGGCGGUAGGGGUGGAGUCUCCACCGGGACUCACACAGGCGGCUCUAUCUCCAUUGGGGAGUAUCGCAAGAGACUUGUAAGUAUAUCGCAACCUUAGCUUUAUUGCAACUCUGAACUUAAAAUUUCUUCUUGUUGGUGUUAAAAAUUGCUUAUAGUAACCUUAGCUUUCAUAUCGUCCAAAAGGAAUCAAAAUGUACCAAGGUUUUGCCAGUGAAAAAUGUUCCCUUUGAUAGUUGUUAUAGUUGGCACUGUCAGACGAACAACAAUAAAAGAAGAAAAUGAUUUUACAUUGAAAAUGAUUCAUCAGUUGUAGUUUUGCUCUUGCAUUUCUGGGUUCUAGGUAAGGUUGUAGUUGAACUCCUACCUUGCUGUUUCCUCCUGCUUGUAUUUAGCUGUUUUGGACUUGUGUCUCGCUGAUCCAGGUACUGAUUUCAGUAUCAGAUGAUGUACUGUCAUGUGAUUGUUCUAGCAUUAAAAUCUGCCUCAAUUUGUUCAUCUAUAUGAAGUGAAUUCAUAAGUAAUUGUCUGUAUUGUUUGGACAUUGUUCAAGUUCCCUGGAUUUUGAAUCUGACAUGAGAAACAGGGAAUUAAAUCUGUUCAAAAGCCAGAAAAGAUACUUAGUCUGUGCAAAUUAAAAAUGAAGUGAAGUUUGCUUCCUAAAACCUAUGAUCGAGUGACAUUUAAACAUGCUACAACUACACAUGCUUCUUAAUUUGUCUGGAAUUUGGACUGUCCAAUUUGUGUUGCGAAAAAUAGUUACACUGCAAAACUAUCUUGCUGAGAGAAUCUAAGGCAUACUUGGGCAGUAAUUUGUCUGUAAUUCGAUCAAUCAAUCAGCUAGUCCUCAGUCCUCACCCACAAACUAGACUGUCGCUUUUAUGAAUCCUCUAUGCGCACUCGCACAUACACACACCACCACUAAAAUAACAACUACAACAAUAGCAUGUGUGUAUGUAUAUAUACACAUAUGUUCCAUCUGAAGAAUUUUUUAUUUUAGUUCAGGGUUCCUCGUCUCCCUUUUCUUUUAGAAUUAAGAAAGGGGCAGGUUGUGGAGGUACAGAUUUUUUUUAUUAAAUCAAAAGCAGAGGACUAUUUUCCUUUAAGGCUUCAACAUUGUGAUUAUUAAGACAUGUUAAUUAUUAAUCCUUAGGUGAAGUUGUGGCUAUACUAACACAUAUGGUAUUGCUUAAAGAGUUUAAUCUAGUUUCAUUUUGGAAAUUUUAAUGCUUUGAUGAAGUCAUCAAUAUAUUGUUAAGAAUGUUGUGUUUCUUUCAGCUGUUAUUUUAGGCAGGAACAGAUACUAUGGCACUUUGAGCCAAGACCUAGAAUUCUUUUGCAUACAGUAAUGUCUUAAAGGAGGUUAAUACCAGAAGCCUUAUAAUACUUACUUUCUUGAUAAGUGCCUUCCAAUACUUAUCUUUUUAUGAGAAGAUUGUUAGUUUAAUGUAGCAGAGCAGUGUUAGUGACUUCUCUGCAUUUUUCUAAAAAAAAACUGUAUGUUCGUCAUUAUCCCUUUACUGUGCGGGUGAAAUGACUCAAAUGCUGUUCUAAAGCUUUUAAUUUAGGUAUUUAUAGACUAUUGCCUUUUUCUAUAUGCGGGAGACGGUGCUUACCUCGUCUCUCAAUUGAAACCGCAGUACCUAUCAUCAGAUGUUAAUAUCUAGGACCUUGGGUGUACAGACAGGUUUUUGCUUUCAACGUAUGCAGAACAAUGGUAUUGUUGUUGUGCAUUCUCUUUAAUGAUCUCAAUCAGAUAUUCGUAGUACAUAUGGAGUCCGGACUAAGCAAUAAAAAUAGGUGUCUUAUAUUUUAAAGUCAUAAUCAUCUCAAUGUUUAUCAAUAGUAAACAAGAAUUAGUCAUUUGAUUUUCCAUUUGAAGCUCGUCUUAACUUUUCUAGUGCAGAUUGGUGAGUUUGAAGCAUGUGGAUGAGGAAAGGUUGUUUCUUGUUAAAUGGUUUAGACCAAAAUGUUGGAAGUUUAUCUAUAUACAAACUGCAAAGGCAAUAAUAAAACAAAGAGUAAUAUUCUUACCUGUUUAGCCAAGUUGUCAUGUCUCUGAUCCUCUGAAUGCUCCUCCUAUUCCGCUUUUGUCUGGAGUCCGGACUAAGCAAUAAAAAUAGGUGUCUUAUAUUUUAAAGUCAUAAUCAUCUCAAUGUUUAUCAAUAGUAAACAAGAAUUAGUCAUCACUGCGGAAUGUGAGGCUAUAGAGUAAUUGUUCAGUUCAGUAUCUGUUUCAUGUUCCUUAAACACAUGGCUGGGGUUAAGAUAUACAUUAGUUGUACUCAUGACGGAUAAACAAUAUCUUAAACCCCAUGACGGACAGCUUUAUUGUUUCAUGAAACAGUAUCUGUUUCAUGUUCCUUAAACACAUGGCUGGGGUUUAAGAUAUGUUGGACUUUAAGCCAUUGGGAUUUAAAGUAGAAGAAGUGUGAAUUGGAAAUGGAGGGAAAUGAAAUGG